rnacentral:rRNA from 1 species
GGGCGUUAAGUUGCAGGGUAUAGACCCGAAACCCGGUGAUCUAGCCAUGGGCAGGUUGAAGGUUGGGUAACACUAACUGGAGGACCGAACCGACUAAUGUUGAAAAAUUAGCGGAUGACCUGUGGCUGGGGGUGAAAGGCCAAUCAAACCGGGAGAUAGCUGGUUCUCCCCGAAAGCUAUUUAGGUAGCGCCUCGUGAAUUCAUCUCCGGGGGUAGAGCACUGUUUCGGCUAGGGGGCCAUCCCGGCUUACCAACCCGAUGCAAACUGCGAAUACCGGAGAAUGUUAUCACGGGAGACACACGGCGGGUGCUAACGUCCGUCGUGAAGAGGGAAACAACCCAGACCGCCAGCUAAGGUCCCAAAGUCAUGGUUAAGUGGGAAACGAUGUGGGAAGGCCCAGACAGCCAGGAUGUUGGCUUAGAAGCAGCCAUCAUUUAAAGAAAGCGUAAUAGCUCACUGGUCGAGUCGGCCUGCGCGGAAGAUGUAACGGGGCUAAACCAUGCACCGAAGCUGCGGCAGCGAACGUAUCACUUAAAGCGAUUCAGCGGGUUACGAUUGACGGAGCGAAGCGACGUCAAAGCGUAUACAAAGUCGAGUCGGUUUAAGGAUACGUUCGUUGGGUAGGGGAGCGUUCUGUAAGCCUGUGAAGGUGUGCUGUGAGGCAUGCUGGAGGUAUCAGAAGUGCGAAUGCUGACAUAAGUAACGAUAAAGCGGGUGAAAAGCCCGCUCGCCGGAAGACCAAGGGUUCCUGUCCAACGUUAAUCGGGGCAGGGUGAGUCGACCCCUAAGGCGAGGCCGAAAGGCGUAGUCGAUGGGAAACGGGUUAAUAUUCCCGUACUUGGUGUUACUGCGAAGGGGGGACGGAGAAGGCUAUGUUGGCCGGGCGACGGUUGUCCCGGUUUAAGCGUGUAGGUGUGUGUUCCAGGUAAAUCCGGUUCACUUUAACACUGAGGCGUGA